rnacentral:rRNA from 1 species
UGGGGAAUUUUGGACAAUGGGGGCAACCCUGAUCCAGCAAUGCCGCGUGUGUGAAGAAGGCCUUCGGGUUGUAAAGCACUUUUGUCCGGAAAGAAAUCCUUGGCUCUAAUACAGUCGGGGGAUGACGGUACCGGAAGAAUAAGCACCGGCUAACUACGUGCCAGCAGCCGCGGUAAUACGUAGGGUGCAAGCGUUAAUCGGAAUUACUGGGCGUAAAGCGUGCGCAGGCGGUUUGCUAAGACCGAUGUGAAAUCCCCGGGCUCAACCUGGGAACUGCAUUGGUGACUGGCAGGCUAGAGUAUGGCAGAGGGGGGUAGAAUUCCACGUGUAGCAGUGAAAUGCGUAGAGAUGUGGAGGAAUACCGAUGGCGAAGGCAGCCCCCUGGGCCAAUACUGACGCUCAUGCACGAAAGCGUGGGGAGCAAACAGGAUUAGAUACCCUGGUAGUCCACGCCCUAAACGAUGUCAACUAGUUGUUGGGGAUUCAUUUCCUUAGUAACGUAGCUAACGCGUGAAGUUGACCGCCUGGGGAGUACGGUCG